rnacentral:lncRNA from 1 species
AUUUCCAUGUCUUUUUUUUUUUAUUUUUUUUUAUUUGAGAGAUAGAUAGCACGCUACCCGCUUCGUUUAUUUCAUUUAGAAAUAAACUUAGCUGAAAAUGUGAAUCAAUUAGGAUUAAAACUUGCGUCUCGAAUACCAACCACUAAGGGCCUGUUUGUUUGCACGAAAGUGGGGCGGAAGGGGAAAGUAAUUUUCGGUGAAAACUGUCAAUUUUUGUUGUUUGGUUCACCGUAAUUUUAUUAGGCCCGAAAGUCCAGUUCACUCAAAAUAAUGAAAUUGACUUUGCCCUCCCACGGGGUGAAGUCAAUUCCUGUGAAGUGAAAAAAAGGCAAGAGUGGGAUUAAUGUGUUAGGUUUAUCUCUUCUCUACAUACCCUUUCAUCCAAAUAUAUUCAAUUAUGGAAGUAAUUAAAUUUUUUAUUUUGAUUAUAUGUCUAAAAUAUGAUCAAAUUUGGUUAGGUAAGUUUUAAUAUAUUUUUUGUUUAAUUUGUAUAUUUAGAAAAUGAUGAAAAAUGAAUUUGUUAAAUGUUAAUAAUUUUUUAACUUUAGAAUUUUAUUUGUUGCAUUAUUAUAAUUUAUAUGCAAACAAAUAAUAUAAUUUUUUAAAAUUUUAUUUUAUAAUUAUACAUAUAUAUAAUUAUAUACAUAUAUAAUUAUAUUAAUUUUUAUUUAUUAUAAUUUAUUAUUCACUAUAAGUUACAAAAUAGACAAUAAUAUUAUUUCGGAGGUAAGUAUAUCGGGGGUGAAGAGCUACACUUUUUACGUCAUAUAUUUCCUACCAAAUAAACAACAGAACUCGCAGAACUGCACUUCCACAGUUAGAAACAAACAGCAGAAGUGAACUAAUUUUCACCCCAACUCCACUUCAACCCAAAGUCCACUUCCACCCUAAGUCUACUUACGUUGAAACAAACAUACCCUAAGUCGUUUGCCACUUGCUCUAGGGACAGUCGGUUCAAUUUCUAUGUCACUAGUGCUUUCAAGGAAGGAUUUAAUUACCUAUUGGUACAGGUCGUAUCAAGUGUCUUAUUGUGAGAGCAAAAUAUCGGUACAAUAUAGUUUUCGUGCCGGUGGCUCAGUUUAAAACUCUCAUUUUUAAAAAAAUUAGUAAGUGAUUUAAUCAAUAAAGUUUGAAAGUUUUGAUAAAAAUAUUUAAUAAGUAAUCAAUAUAUUUUGUUGCUAAAAAAAAUAAAUAUUUCAUAUCAUUAUUGUUAGAUUUUAUUGAAUUUUUAUGAUUUAAAACUUGUUAAGCUUCUUGGGCCUUGUUUGGGAGUCCAACUAAAAUUUUCAUGCGUGAGAUUUAGUCCCACAUUGGAAACUAAAAAGAGUGUUGUUGCUAUAUAUAUAUUACUCUAUUCUCAAAUUAGUUGUUUGGAAAAAAAAAAGAAUUAUACUUUUAUUUAAAUGUACGGUACAUA